GCAUAGACUCUCUGAUGACACUUGAAGCUCGGCCCCUGAUGAUGUGGAGACGACAGCUUCGGUUGAGGUGUGGCUGUUUAUAAAGAGAGCAGCAGUUGACGGCCGCAUCUGUGGAUCAGCUCACCAACACACAGGGAUCUGGGUGGAUUCAUAAAACUCAGGGUUUGAAGUUUUGAAAUGGAUAGAUGCGGAGGAGGACACGGCCACGGUCAUGGCCACGGUCACGGUCACGGACAUGGACAUGGACAUGGACAUGGACAUGGUGGUUGCCAUGGUCACGGACAUGGUCAUGGUGGUUGCCAUAGUCAUGGGCAGGGAUGUGGACAUGGACAUGGCGGUUGCUGUGGACAGGGGAAGAGGUGGAGACGCAGACACAAGCGUGGGCACAAGCAUCGCAAAUGUCACAAGAAGGGGAAGGACUGUCACGGGUCCUCCAGCAGCUCCUGCAGCAGUGACUCUGACUAGAUGAAGAAUUCUGGAUGAAGCAAGCAACUACCUGGAAACCCUCCUCAUAUUACCCAAUACAAUAAUCAGUUGGUUUUGCAAUCCAGUGAUUGGUUAUAUCCUGCUUUUUAAGUCGAAUGCAUUUGUAUUGGCCUUAGAAAUGUAAACAAGCUUUUGUUAGACCAUUUCGACACACAAUGAGCCUCCACUAGUUGUGUAGCUUUGUUUUACAUUCUGAUUUAAUAAAUUCUGACAUUAAAACUAAGAUGGAUGGAUUCUGUUUAUGUUCUCAGGGCUGCUUGUUGGUUUUUCCUAACUUUUGUUUACAAUUAUUAUGUGAUAAUGGUAGCUUUCAAAUAUUUCUACUGGAGGUUUUGUCUUUGUUUCAUCCAGUGGAAAAUCCCAGCAGAGUGAAGGGAUGGAGCACUGCUCUCUGUAGUGCCAGUCUCAAGAAAGCCACUGAAUGGCGCCAGAGUUUCAAGUCCUUCCAACAGUGGCUUCAGAAGUGGCUCUAACUAACACAGCAUACGAUGCCUUUGAUUGUGUUUUUCAAGUCUUACUUUUGUAAAAGUGGAAAAGUAAAAUUUGCAAUAUGAUGAUAUGAGUUAGCUGGUUUUCUUGUAAGUGUUGCUUAUCUGGUGCCUUGUGGAGACACUCCACAAAAAUUGUUGGGAGUUCAGGUUCGGCCCCUGAUGAUGAGUGUUGGAUUUCAAGCUCAAGGUGUGGCUACAUAUAAAGGCAGAGCCAGCUGUCUGCUGCGUCUGUAGAUCUACUCUUCAAAACACAGUAAGUUUACGAGCAGCUAUCUAGGAAUGAUUACCAGAAAGUAUGUGCAUACACGCAUGUUUGUGAGCAUGUGUGUCUGUAUGUGUGUGUGUGUGUGUGUAUGUGUGUGUCUGUGCGCUCUUGUAAAAUAGUGUUAUGGUGACAUAGAACUGUUUACACAGCAACACAGCGUGGACUCGUCUUCCUUUCAGGGACUAAACACAAGAUGUAUGACAUUUAUUAGUUUCAGGGUUUGGAUCUAAAAUUUUGAAAUGUUUGGCCAAGGCAGAGGUUACCAGUGGCCCCCAGGCUGUCCUCCUCCGCCGGGCCCAGGACCAUGUCCCCCACCACCUGGCCCACCAUGUCAGCCCUACCCUCCUCCACGUGGUCCACCUGUAUGCCCAGGGCCAGGGCCAGGACCACGUCCCCCGCCACCUGGCCCACUAUGGCCAGGACCACGUCCUCCAUCCCCUGGCCCACCAUGCCAGCCCUAUCCUCCUCCAUGUGGUCCACCUGCAUGCCCUCCUGUAUACCCACCUUAUGAAGGGCCAGGGCCAGUAGUACAUCCUCCAUCCCCUGGCCCACCCUACCCUCCUCCAUGUGGUCCACCGUUAUGCCCUCCUGUAAACCCACCUUGUGGAGGGCCAGGGCCAGUAGUAUGUCCUCCAUCCCCUGGUCAUGGUCAUGGUCAUGGCCAUGGUCAUGGGCAUCACGGCCAUGGUCAUGGUCAUGGUCAUGGUCAUGGGCAUCAUGGUCAUGGUCAUGGGCAUCAUGGUCAUGGUCAUGGGCAUCAUGGUCAUGGUCAUGGGCAUCAUGGUCAUGGGCACGGGCAUCAUGGACACGGUCAUGGUCAUGGUCAUGGGCAUCAUGGUCAUGGCCACAGGCACAGGCAUGGUCACAUGCAUGGACAUUGUCACAAAAAAGGAAAGAAGUGUCAUGGGUCUUCCAGCAGCUCCUGCAGCAGCGACUCGGACUAGAUGAAGAUUUCUGGAUGAGAAAAGACAAGUUGCCACCUUUCCUCAUAGCUACAAAAGUAGUGACAGUUGCUUCAGCCAUCUAUGCUUUAAAGCAGGACUGCGUUAUGUUUCACACUAUCAGGAUUUAAAUCAAAAACAUUGUUUUGUACAAAGUAUUAAACCAAAAAAGUUUAGUGCAGAAAUAGGUCUACAUGUACCGUUUAUCAUUUAUGCAAUUGUAGUUGCUUUUGCUUUUAAGAAAUGACUUUACCAGCAGUUGCAUGAUGUAUGCAAGUAAUAGGCUUGUUAACUGACUGCAUUAGAUGAUGAGCAUAACUGUUCUGUCACUACAUAAAAAUGGUUUCUGUUCAUGAUUAAACAAAUAUCCACAAUUUUGCUUCUUUAUUCUCUGUCUCAUUUGACCUCUGUUGUUUCUUAUUGCUUUGCC
ensembl:lncRNA